AGCAGUAGCCACGGUAAUACAGAGGGUGCGAGCGUUAAUCGGAUUUACUGGGCGUAAAGCGUGCGUAGGCGGCUUCUUAAGUCGGAUGUGAAAUCCCUGAGCUUAACUUAGGAAUUGCAUUCGAUACUGGGAAGCUAGAGUAUGGGAGAGGAUGGUAGAAUUCCAGGUGUAGCGGUGAAAUGCGUAGAGAUCUGGAGGAAUACCGAUGGCGAAGGCAGCCAUCUGGCCUAAUACUGACGCUGAGGUACGAAAGCAUGGGGAGCAAACAGGAUUAGAUACCCGGGUAGUCCCUGUCUCUUAUAA
rnacentral:rRNA from 1 species